AUAUCAAUAAGCGGAGGAAAAGAAACUAACAAGGAUUCCCCUAGUAACUGCGAGUGAAGCGGGAAAAGCUCAAAUUUAAAAUCUGGCAGCCUAUGGUUGUCCGAGUUGUAAUCUGGAGAAGUGUUUUCCGUGCUGGACCGUGUACAAGUCUCUUGGAACAGAGCGUCAUAGAGGGUGAGAAUCCCGUCUUUGACACGGACUACCAGUGCUUUGUGAUGCGCUCUCAAAGAGUCGAGUUGUUUGGGAAUGCAGCUCAAAAUGGGUGGUGAAUUCCAUCUAAAGCUAAAUAUUGGCGAGAGACCGAUAGCGAACAAGUACCGUGAGGGAAAGAUGAAAAGCACUUUGGAAAGAGAGUUAAACAGUACGUGAAAUUGCUGAAAGGGAAACGCUUGAAGUCAGUCGCAUUGUUCGGAACUCAGCCUUGCGUUUGCUUGGUGCAUUUUCUGAAUGAUGGGCCAGCAUCAAUUUUGACUGUUGGAAAAAGGCUGGAGUAAUGUGGCACCCCUGGGUGUGUUAUAGACUCUGGUUGCAUACAGCAGUUGGGAUUGAGGACCGCAGCACGCCGCAAGGCAGGGGUGAGUAAUUGCCCACUUUCGUGCUUAGGAUGCUGGCAUAAUGGCUUUAAACGACCCGUCUUGAAACACGGACCAAGGAGUCUAACAUGCCUGCGAGUGUUUGGGUGGAAAACCCGAGCGCGUAAUGAAAGUGAAAGUUGAGACCUCUGUCAUGGAGGGCACCAACGCCCGGACCUGACGUUUUCUGAAGGAUCCGCGGUAGAGCAUGUAUGUUGGGACCCGAAAGAUGGUGAACUAUGCCUGAAUAGGGUGAAGCCAGAGGAAACUCUGGUGGAGGCUCGUAGCGAUUCUGACGUGCAAAUCGAUCGUCAAAUUUGGGUAUAGGGGCGAAAGACUAAUCGAACCAUCUAGUAGCUGGU
rnacentral:rRNA from 1 species